GGUGAACGGCGAGUGAACGCGAACGGUGAACGCCGAGCGAACGCGAACGUGAACGGCAAACAAACGGCGACGGAAGCGCGGCUGAGCAGACAAAGACGACGGACGCCGAGCUCGAGGAAGCAGCCGCGAUCGGUGACAGCGAACAGGGGUUGAAGACUUGGAUCACGAUGGAAGCUAGAUAGACGGACGGAUGGCGAACUUUGAGUGCGACGGACGCGGCAGUAUGCCACUCCUUGCGGGGGUGGUGUAAGC